rnacentral:rRNA from 1 species
GCUUGCUUCUCUGGAUGAGUUGCGAACGGGUGAGUAACGCGUAGGUAACCUGCCUGGUAGCGGGGGAUAACUAUUGGAAACGAUAGCUAAUACCGCAUAAUAGCAGUUGUUGCAUGACAACUGUUUGAAAGGUGCAAUUGCGCCACUACCAGAUGGACCUGCGUUGUAUUAGCUAGUUGGUGGGGUAACGGCUCACCAAGGCGACGAUACAUAGCCGACCUGAGAGGGUGAUCGGCCACACUGGGACUGAGACACGGCCCAGACUCCUACGGGAGGCAGCAGUAGGGAAUCUUCGGCAAUGGACGGAAGUCUGACCGAGCAACGCCGCGUGAGUGAAGAAGGUUUUCGGAUCGUAAAGCUCUGUUGUAAGAGAAGAACGAGUGUGAGAGUGGAAAGUUCACACUGUGACGGUAUCUUACCAGAAAGGGACGGCUAACUACGUGCCAGCAGCCGCGGUAAUACGUAGGUCCCGAGCGUUGUCCGGAUUUAUUGGGCGUAAAGCGAGCGCAGGCGGUUAGAUAAGUCUGAAGUUAAAGGCUGUGGCUUAACCAUAGUACGCUUUGGAAACUGUUUAACUUGAGUGCAAGAGGGGAGAGUGGAAUUCCAUGUGUAGC